CCUACGGGUGGCAGCAGUCGAGAAUCAUUCACAAUGGGGGAAACCCUGAUGGUGCGACGCCGCGUGGGGGAAUGAAGGUCUUCGGAUUGUAAACCCCUGUCAUGUGGGAGCAAAUUAAAAAGAUAGUACCACAAGAGGAAGAGACGGCUAACUCUGUGCCAGCAGCCGCGGUAAUACAGCGGUCUCAAGCGUUGUUCGGAAUCACUGGGCGUAAGGGGUGCGUAGGCUGUUUCGUAAGUCGUGUGUGAAAGGAGGGGGCUCAACCCGCGGACUGCACAUGAUACUGGGAGACUAGAGUAAUGGAGAGGUGACCGGAAUUCUCGGUGUAGCAGUGAAAUGCGUAGAUAUCGAGAGGAACACUCGUGGCGAAGGCAGGUUCCUGGACAUUAACUGACGCUGAGGCACGAAGGCCAGGGGAGCGAAAGGGAUUAGAUACCCCUGUAGUC
rnacentral:rRNA from 1 species